rnacentral:rRNA from 1 species
CCCUUAGAUGCCCUGGGCCGCACGCGCGUUACACUGAUGCAUUCAACGAGCUUAUAACCUUGGCCGAGAGGCCUGGGCAAUCUUGUUAACGUGCAUCGUGAUAGGGAUAGAUUAUUGAAAUUAUUAAUCUUGAACGAGGAAUUCCUAGUAAACGCAGAUCAUCAAUCUGCAUUGAUUACGUCCCUGCCCUUUGUACACACCGUCCGUCGCACCUACCGAUUGGAUGGUCCGGUGAAGCCUCGGGAUUGUGGUUCUUGCCGCUUUAUUGUGGCGUGACCGCGAGAACUUGUCUAAACCUUAUCAUCUAGAGGAAGGUGAAGUCGUAACA